rnacentral:rRNA from 1 species
UACGUAGGGUGCUAGCGUUGUCCGGAAUCAUUGGGCGUAAAGCGCGUGUAGGCGGCCCGGUAAGUCCGCUGUGAAAGUCGGGGGCUCAACCCUCGAAAGCCGGUGGAUACUGUCGGGCUCGAGUGCGGAAGAGGCGAGUGGAAUUCCUGGUGUAGCGGUGAAAUGCGCAGAUAUCAGGAGGAACACCGAUUGCGAAGGCAGCUCGCUGGGACGUUACUGACGCUGAGACGCGAAAGCGUGGGGAGCAAACAGG